rnacentral:rRNA from 1 species
UACGUAGGGGGGCAAGCGUUGUUCGGAAUUACUGGGCGUAAAGCGCGCGUAGGCGGAUUGGCAAGUCAGAUGUGAAAGCCCCCGGGCUCAACUUGGGAACUGCAUUUGAUACUGCCAGACUAGAGUACAGAAGAGGUGACUGGAAUUCCCAGUGUAGCGGUGAAAUGGCGUAGAUAUUGGGAGGAACACCAGAUGCGAAGGCGGGUCACUGGGCUGAUACUGACGGCUGAGGCGCGGAAAGCCAGGGGGAGCGAAACGGG